GUUUGUGCAUCGCCCACAAAGAAACCCGCUGCCAGAGUCUCAAUGUCAGAUUACAGAAGCAUACGCCAACCUACGGAGAUUACGGGAUUUUCUGAAGUUCACUCAGAGGGGAGCUGGACCCCACCACGCCCAACGUCCGGGCCACUGCUUGUCGGUCACAGAACUCUCCUUCCAAAAAAGGAGGCCUUACAUUCUCCUCCCCCAGGUUCCUGCGUGGCAGCUUGUCUCUUUGGCUAAUCAACAGGAAAUUGGAAAGUAGAGCAUCUAAACUUAAAGCUUCAUCUGCCAGGAGUCUGGGAUUCUGUGCACAAGAUGAGGUGGCCGGUGAGGAGAUGAGACUGGACCCCGGGAGGGCCAGGCGGGAGAUGGGCUCAGAGACUCCAUGUGUGGGGAGGCUGGGGCUCCAUUUCGUCAUUUGGAAUGUUCUUAAGAGGGUGGAUCACUUUGAGGUUCCCAGGGGUGUGUUUCACUGGAGAUGCAGAGUGAAGGUGAAAUACAAUCUCUGCCCGUCGGUGCCGGCGCAGGGUGGGAGCGGUACAGUGACUUUACGGCAAAGGUGGUGAAAAGAGCACAGAGACAGAGGCCAGCUGUGCGACGCGGGAAAAUCAUCCCCUCUCUGGACCUCAGUUUCCUCACCUCUUAAAAGGAGCAAGUUGCACUGACUUUUGUGUUCCGAUGUUUAUCACAUUUGUUAAUUAGUUCAUGGUUUCUCUUCUUAAGUUUUCAACACGUGACUAGA